rnacentral:tRNA from 1 species
GGUUCCAUGGUGUAAUGGUCAGCACUCUGGACAUUGAAUCCAGUGAUCCGAGUUCAAGUCUUGGUGGAACCU